GCAGCUGUGGUGGAACUGGUAGACACGCUAUCUUCAGGCGGUAGUGGUUAAUACCAUGUGAGUUCGAGUCUCAUCAGCUGCACCA
rnacentral:tRNA from 1 species